rnacentral:rRNA from 1 species
AACCUCAUGACGCCGGAAUCCGGAGUAAUCGUUUAUUAGCAGUGAACGGUGAAUAUGUCCCUGUCUCUUGCACACACUGCCCGUCAAACCAACCGAGUUUAUUUAUGAUGAAACGUUUCGAUGGAGAAUCUUAGGUAGACAAGGUAGGUUAAGUCGUCACAAGGUAUCUGUAGGGGAACCUGCAGAUGGAUCACCUCCU